AAUAAAAUAUUCAAUCAAUCAAACAGUAACAUGUAGCUAUCUUUUGAUCCAGACGAUCUGACUGUGGAUGUGGGAUACUGGUUUAAAGGAAGCACCAAUCGUAAAGGUUACCUGACAGAAUUCUGUGAGCUCCAUGGAAGCGAGUAUUUGGAAAUACUUAUGCACGUUUCCAUUCGAUGGUUGAGCCUGGAGAGGUGUUUGACUCGUACCCUGCAGCAGUAUGAGCCACUGGCCAGCUACUUCAAGUCAUCAGAUGAGAAACAACCAAGGUUCAGGAGGCUGUUGGAAGCAUUCUCUAACCCAAUAACAGAGGUGUACCUGCUCUUCUAUCAAGCAACGUUGCCAGUCUUCUCCACCUUCAACCU